rnacentral:rRNA from 1 species
GGGGAAUAUUGGGCAAUGGGCGCAAGCCUGACCCAGCAACGCCGCGUGAGGGAAGAAUGUCUUCGGAUUGUAAACCUCUGUCCUUGGGGACGAAAAAAUGACGGUACCAAGGAGGAAGCUCCGGCUAACUACG